rnacentral:rRNA from 1 species
UACGGGGGGGGCAAGCGUUGUUCGGAAUCACUGGGCGUAAAGCGUGCGUAGGCGGUCCGCUGUGUCCCGUGUGAAAUCCCCGGGCUCAACCUGGGAACUGCAUUGGUGACUGGCAGGCUAGAGUAUGGCAGAGGGGGGUAGAAUUCCACGUGUAGCAGUGAAAUGCGUAGAGAUGUGGAGGAAUACCGAUGGCGAAGGCAGCCCCCUGGGCCAAUACUGACGCUCAUGCACGAAAGCGUGGGGAGCAAACAGG